rnacentral:rRNA from 1 species
UCAGACCUUGGUGAGUGGCGGACGGGUGAGUAACACGUGGGUAACCUGCCCAAAAGUGGGGGAUAACAUUUGGAAACAAGUGCUAAUACCGCAUAACAACUACUUUCACAUGAUCGUAGCUUGAAAGAUGGCUCUGCUAUCGCUUUUGGAUGGACCCGCGGCGUAUUAGCUAGUUGGUGAGGUAAUAGCUCACCAAGGCAAUGAUACGUAGCCGACCUGAGAGGGUAAUCGGCCACAUUGGGACUGAGACACGGCCCAAACUCCUACGGGAGGCAGCAGUAGGGAAUCUUCCACAAUGGGCGAAAGCCUGAUGGAGCAAUGCCGCGUGAGUGAAGAAGGUUUUCGGAUCGUAAAACUCUGUUGUUGAAGAAGAACAUGCGUGAGAGUAACUGUUCACGUACUGACGGUAUUCAACCAGAAAGCCACGGCUAACUACGUGCCAGCAGCCGCGGUAA